rnacentral:rRNA from 1 species
AUUGAACGCUGGCGGCAUGCCUUACACAUGCAAGUCGAACGGCAGCGGACCUUCGGGUGCCGGCGAGUGGCGAACGGGUGAGUAAUAUAUCGGAACGUACCUUUCAGUGGGGGAUAACGUAGCGAAAGUUACGCUAAUACCGCAUAUUCUGUGAGCAGGAAAGCAGGGGAUCGCAAGACCUUGCGCUGAUUGAGCGGCCGAUAUCAGAUUAGCUAGUUGGUGAGGUAAAGGCUCACCAUGGCGACGAUCUGUAGCGGGUCUGAGAGGAUGAUCCGCCACACUGGAACUGAGACACGGUCCAGACUCCUACGGGAGGCAGCAGUGGGGAAUUUUGGACAAUGGGCGCAAGCCUGAUCCAGCCAUGCCGCGUGAGUGAAGAAGGCCU